rnacentral:rRNA from 1 species
AUGUCGCCUUUUCUUCAGCCCCGAGCAGCUGCGCCGCCAGAGCUCGCGAACCUUACCGCAACCUCGACUCCUCCGCGUCCGGAACAUCGGGAUGUCGCCGGCAUGCGGAACGAAGCCGCCCCAACUGGAUCCACGCCCUCCGCCAUCGCCCGCUCUCCCGCCGUCCUUCCUCACCUCGAAUUGGUCAUGCCGGUAAACAAGGCUGCCGAGCCAAAUUUGCUGAACUAG